rnacentral:rRNA from 1 species
GAUCCUGGCUCAGGAUGAACGCUAGCUACAGGCUUAACACAUGCAAGUCGAGGGGCGAGCAUGGUCUUAGCUUGCUAAGGCCGAUGGCGACCGGCGCACGGGUGAGUAACACGUAUCCAACCUGCCGUCUACUCUUGGACAGCCUUCUGAAAGGAAGAUUAAUACAAGAUGGCAUCAUGAGUCCGCAUGUUCACAUGAUUAAAGGUAUUCCGGUAGACGGUGGGGAUGCG